UACGUAGGGAGCAAGCGUUGUCCGGAAUUACUGGGCGUAAAGGGUGCGUAGGCGGUUUGAUAAGUCAGAUGUGAAAUAUCCGGGCUUAACCCGGAGGGUGCAUUUGAAACUGUCAGACUUGAGUGCAGGAGAGGAAAGCGGAAUUCCUAGUGUAGCGGUGAAAUGCGUAGAUAUUAGGAGGAACACCAGUGGCGAAGGCGGCUUUCUGGACUGUAACUGACGCUGAGGCACGAAAGCGUGGGGAGCAAACA
rnacentral:rRNA from 1 species